rnacentral:lncRNA from 1 species
GCGAGAGAUUGUUGAGACUUGAGAGCCGUGUGUGUUGGCGGCUUGGCGGUCUGCGGGGUGCCUCAGUAUUUGUAGGUGUAGUGUAGCGGUCUAGCGGAGGAAUGCCUGGACCGGAGGCUGAAGCCUAGCACCUUUUUUUUAUUUUUUAAGGCGUUGUUUAGUUCGCAAAAGUUUUGGUUUUUGACUACUGUAACAUUUUCGUUUUUAUUUGACAAACAUUGUCUAAUCACGGAGUAACUAGGCUCAAAAGAUUCA